rnacentral:lncRNA from 1 species
UAGUUUUUAGUUGGUGUGAAAAACUGAAAUGAGGAUGGGAUGAUUCUAAACAAAACAAUCUAGAAGUAAGAAUAUCAGAAAAAAGUUACAAAGAAAUGUCAUAAUUACUUGAAAGAACCUAAAGAAAUGUUUCUUAUGUAACAUUUUAUUUAGUUUUGCAUGCUAUCAAUGAUGACAGUCCAACUGUUCCAAUUCUUCUGACAGACUACAUCCUCAAAGUUUUGUGUCCAACCUGAAGAUGGAACGGGAGGACUAGGAUGAUGCUGAACUACUAGUAUGCCACAUACUGUUAGCAGUUAGAUUUCUUUGAGUUAAAAAAUGCUUUAGCUUAAAACAACCAUAUUAUCUUGUAUUAGAGAAAAAAAAAAGUAUUCUUUUUCUUAACUAAAAUGUUUCUGAAAUACAUAAAAAUACUGCAAGAAUAAGAUGUAUAAAAUUAUUUACAUUUUUUUGAAAGUUUAAAAUAGUCAUGGAGGGAAAGUACAUCACAAUAUUAUAUAUGUAUGGACUAAAGAAAGUUAAAAUCCUAAUACUGAAUAACAUUUCAUUCUCUAUUAAACUCCAGUAUUGCCAAGGGCAAAGCCAACUUCCAUUGUGUUUAAUUACCACAACUAUAUUUAUGAAAUUACAUGUAUUUAAUAUUAGAUUUUAAAAGGAGAUAAUCACUUGUGGGAAAAAGGUAGUGUUAAAAAACAGAGGGAACUGCUGUAAAACUUGUAGAUAUAUGUAUGUCUAGCAUAGAAAUGUAUUAAACCUCUUAUCUAAGGGCUGAACUUAUAAGCCUGUUUUUAAAAACAAUUACAUUUAAAGUUACAAUAGAUAAAUUUCUUCAAUUAACUCGCAUGUACAUAUUUUCAGGAGACUUCAAUAAAUUAAAAAAGGUACAACAUUUUAAAAAUUCUCAUCAUUCUGGAUUAGUAAGCCAAUGCUAUUUCAGUAGUUCAACAGUUUACCUUAUAAAGAAACAAGAGCUAAUUUUAGAACAGACAGCAACAGUGAGUAAUGUUCAGUAUUAGUCAGCCAGGUUUGUGAUCUCAUUCAGCAUUUCUGCAGUACUUGCUAAAAUAAAUAAUACUAAUAGAUGACAGGUUAGAUUAGCUGAUUGGGAAAAAAAAGAUGGAUAUUUCCCCCCAUGACUAACAUUUUCUUAAACUUUUAUGAAGUUUUAAAAAGUAUUUAUCUAAAAUAUCCACAAGAAUCAACUGAUAGGAGUAAUUAUUACCAUUACAUUUAGCUCAUAGAAAAAUGUACUUAUUGGGUAACAAAGUGUAGUGAAAAUUCUCAUUUCUUUUUGGUUCAUACAUAUUUCUCAUCAGUUCUGCAUAUUUAAUUUAAAUAUUUUUUAGAGAAUUCUUUGAAAAUUUUAUUUAUUGCAUUUUAGCUUAAAUAUACGAAAAAAAUUGUAAUAAAGAUACUGUCUUUUAUAGAAAAAUUUAUUUUUUUGAUAUACUUUUUGAGCUACAAAUAAAUGUGGUUAUUAUCUCCAGUAUUUUACACUGGAAAAAUAAGUGACAAUACUCUAACUUGUUUUGUAUCCUUUAUUUUCAACGUUUACAAUACUAAUUUUAAUAUCACCAAUAAAGGUGGAUUUGGAUAAUUGUGCUUAUUAUUAUUAUGGAUUUUGAAAAUGUCUAAAUUAAGUUUUGCUGAGAAACAAACCUUUCUGGUGAAAGUUUAAUAGGUAGGAUAGAAAUUAUGUUCAUUGUGCCAUGUUUGGUAAUGUUCAAACAGCUUUUGAAGGUGAUAUUUCUGUGUUUUGGUAUCCUGUAUAGAAGUAGUUGUUUUGUGUUGUUAGUUCUGGACCAUAAUAAAGAUUCUUCAGUAUUAAUGUAUAUUUAUCAAAAAUGUAUUUCAUAUUAUUCUGUUUGAAAGCCAGCUUUUAGCAUACACGUUUCAGGUAAGGGUGUAAUAACUGUUCUAGUGAUGUUUGUGGCUAUGAUAAAGAUAGAUUUAUAAAUUGAGUGAUAGAGAUAUGAAAAGUGAAUGAUUUGGAGAUUAGUUAGCAAUUUGUGAAGAAAAGGACUGACCAUCGUUGGUGAUGACUCUUAAUUUUUUUCAAAUUAUGGUUUGACCAUAUGGUGUGGUAAAAUUACAGUUAACUUUGACGAUAAGCAACUAACUAUCAAGACAGUUAGUGUGUGAAUAUAGUGCUGUAGUUACAGUUUACAAUGACAGUAAAGGACUGACUUAAGACUUUCAGGUCAGGUCAUGAAUGUGGUGUUGUAAUUACAAGUUACAGUGCGAGUAAGCAAUUGACUGUCAGAAGUUUGGGUUAUGGUGUGAAUACAGUAUUGUAGUUAUAGUUUACAGUGACAGUAAACAGCUGACUUUCUAGUUAGGUUGGGAUUAUCGUGUUGUAGUUACAGUUUACAGUGAUGGUAAGUAACUGACUGUUAGGGUGUAAGUAUAGUGUUGUAGUUACAAUUUAAAAUGACAGUAAGCAACUGACUGUCAAACUUUCAAGUUAGGUUGUGAAUAUAGUGUUGUAGGUAUAUUUUAUACUGACAAUAAAACUGGUUAUUCAGAUUUUCUAGUUAGAUUGUGAAUAUAGUGUGGAAGUUACAGUUUACAGUGACAGUAAGCAGCUGAUUGUUAUUUUCUAGUUAGGGUGUGAUUACAGUAUUGUAGUUAUAAUUUACAGUGACAGUAAGAAAUGGACUGUUCAGAUUUUCUAGUUGUGAUAUGAUUAGUGUUGUAGUUACAGUUUACAACAACAGUAAGCAAUGGACUGUUCGAACUUUCUAGUUAGGGUGUGAUUACAGUGUUGUAGUUACAAUUUACAGUGACAGUAAGAAAUGACUGUUCAGAUUUUCUAGUUGGGAUAUGAUUAGUGUUGUAGUUACAGUUCACAGUAACAGUAAGGAACUGACUGUCCAUACUUUCUGGUUAAGGUGUAAUUUGUGUUGUGGUUACAGUUUACAAUGACAGUAAGGAACUAACUUUUUAGACUUUCUAGUAGUGUUACAGUUCACAGUGACAGUAAGGAACUGUCCAGACUUUCUGGUUAAGGUGUAAUUAGUGUUGUAGUUACAGUUUACAAUGACAGUAAGGAAUUAACUUUUUAGACUUUCUAGUAGUGUUACAGUUCACAGUGACAGUAAGGAACUGACUGUCCAUACUUUCUGGUUAAGGUGUAAUUAGUGUUGCGGUUACAGUUCACAGUGACAGUAAGGAACUAACUUUUUAGACUUUCAAGUAGUGUUACAGUUCACAGUGACAGUAAGGAACUGACUGUCCAGACUUUCUGGUUAAGGUAUGAUUAGUUGUUACAAUUUACAGUGACAGUAGGCAAUGGACAGUUCAGAAUUUCUAGUUAGGGUGUAAUUGUAGUGUUGUAGUUACAGUUUAGAAACA